UGGGAACAUGCACACCAGGGGCUGGGAAUCCUGGGGACUGCCUUCAAAUUCUGCGGACACAACGGCCCUUGCUGCCCUGUAAAAACUUCUUCACCUUCUUGGAAUUCUUCAAGUUCCUGUGUGGUCUGUUACCCUGCAUUCCAUGUAAACACUCAAUUGUAUCCUGUUUCAUAUUACAACUGAGUGGUUGCAGGGCUGCUCUCUUUACCUUCCAGGGCUAGGAGGAUGCUGGCUGCUUCUUCUUCCUGGUUUUUGUAUCUUUGCACCCCCGACUCAGUACUGGGGAGAAUAGAAAGUUAAAAGGUGCUGCCAGUUUUUUUUUUUUUUUUUUGGUUCACUUUUUGAUCUUGGCCUGAACUUUGCUGGGCAUGUGUUCUUUAUUGCCAUGCUAAUAAUACGCAGAGCAAUGACCUUGCCAUGGAAGAAUGUUCCAGGGCCCCCGGAGAACCCUCUGGAACUCCAUGCCACAAGAUAUCUUCAUGGGAGCAGGCAGCACAGUCCUCCAGAUUGGAGAUACUGAAUUUCAGAGCCCCAAGGGUUCUCCAAAGUCACCAACUUGGCUUCCAAGUCCAAGUCCUUCUUAAUCCCCUAGGCUACGGGUUAUCAACCGCUGUCUUUCUAUGCCGCCUCUGUAGCCUUGGUCAAAUAAAUUC
rnacentral:lncRNA from 1 species